CCUACGGGAGGCAGCAGUGAGGAAUAUUGGUCAAUGGACGAGAGUCUGAACCAGCCAAGUAGCGUGAAGGAUGACUGCCCUAUGGGUUGUAAACUUCUUUUAUAUGGGAAUAAAACGUUCCACGUGUGGGAUUUUGUAUGUACCAUAUGAAUAAGGAUCGACUAACUCCGUGCCAGCAGCCGCGGUAAUACGGAGGAUCCGAGCGUUAUCCGGAUUUAUUGGGUUUAAAGGGAGCGUAGGUGGAUUGUCAAGUCAGUUGUGAAAGUUUGCGGCUCAACCGUAAAAUUGCAGUUGAAACUGGCAGUCUUGAGUACAGUAGAGGUGUGCGGAAUUCGUGGUGUAGCGGUGAAAUGCUGAGAUAUCACGAAGAACUCCGAUUGCGAAGGCAGUUCACUGGACUGCAACUGACACUGAGGCUCGAAAGUGUGGGUAUCAAACAGGAUUAGAUACCCUUGUAGUC
rnacentral:rRNA from 1 species